UUUUAUCCAUGUUUUUUUUCCCUUUUGUUCUGGUCUUUAGCUUAUCGUUUCUUUAUCAUUUUCAUUUCCUCUGAAGAAGAGCGGGGAUGAAACACAGGUUGGAGAAAAAUGGAGAAGGAUGCCGCAUCGGAGAUAAGAGAAUACUGCCGAGAGAGGGUAGGUGGUGCUGUUGGCAGUGGUGGUUCUUCUCCUUUUUCUAACACAAACUGAUAGACGAAAGCCGAAAGAGGAGGCACCAUACAAGAAAAAAAGGGGGGCAAGGAAGCCAUUACGAAAAAGAGAAAUCUACAGAGCGAUGGCCUUGCUCUCUCGUCACUGAUGAUGAGGAUGGUUUUUAAGGUUGGGGAACAUCAGGAGGAUUUUGUUGUGGGAGAUAAGAACUGAAAGAUGAGGUUCGAAUUUAUACAUGGAUGAUGUUGCUCUUCGCGGGUAAUUGAUAUGGU